UACGGGGGGGGCAAGCGUUGUUCGGAAUUACUGGGCGUAAAGGGCUCGUAGGCGGCCAACUAAGUCAGACGUGAAAUCCCUCGGCUUAACCGGGGAACUGCGUCUGAUACUGGAUGGCUUGAGUUUGGGAGAGGGAUGCGGAAUUCCAGGUGUAGCGGUGAAAUGCGUAGAUAUCUGGAGGAACACCGGCGGCGAAGGCGGCAUCCUGGACCAACACUGACGCUGAGGCACGAAAGCGUGGGGAUCAAACAGG
rnacentral:rRNA from 1 species